AGAGUUUGAUCCUGGCUCAGAUUGAACGCUGGCGGCAGGCUUAACACAUGCAAGUCGAGCGGAGAUGAGGUGCUUGCACCUUAUCUUAGCGGCGGACGGGUGAGUAAUGCUUAGGAAUCUGCCUAUUAGUGGGGGACAACAUUCCGAAAGGAAUGCUAAUACCGCAUACGUCCUACGGGAGAAAGCAGGGGAUCUUCGGACCUUGCGCUAAUAGAUGAGCCUAAGUCGGAUUAGCUAGUUGGUGGGGUAAAGGCCUACCAAGGCGACGAUCUGUAGCGGGUCUGAGAGGAUGAUCCGCCACACUGGGACUGAGACACGGCCCAGACUCCUACGGGAGGCAGCAGUGGGGAAUAUUGGACAAUGGGGGAAACCCUGAUCCAGCCAUGCCGCGUGUGUGAAGAAGGCCUUAUGGUUGUAAAGCACUUUAAGCGAGGAGGAGGCUACUGAGACUAAUACUCUUGGAUAGUGGACGUUACUCGCAGAAUAAGCACCGGCUAACUCUGUGCCAGCAGCCGCGGUAAUACAGAGGGUGCGAGCGUUAAUCGGAUUUACUGGGCGUAAAGCGUGCGUAGGCGGCUUUUUAAGUCGGAUGUGAAAUCCCCGAGCUUAACUUGGGAAUUGCAUUCGAUACUGGGAAGCUAGAGUAUGGGAGAGGAUGGUAGA
rnacentral:rRNA from 1 species